CUAAGUUUCCUAGUUCUUAAAACUAGGUGGUGGAGUCCUAGGACCCUCUAAGGAAUUAGUUAUUACCUUAUAAAAAUAACUUGGCGUGCAUGGAA
rnacentral:ncRNA from 1 species